UANGCGGAGGAAAAGNANCUAACAAGGAUUCCCCUAGUNACUGCGAGUGAAGCGGGAAAAGCUCAAAUUUAAAAUCUGGUGNUCUUUGGCCGUCCGAGUUGUAAUUUAGAGAAGCGUCUUNCGCGCUGGACCGUGCACAAGUCUCCUGGAACGGAGCGUCGUAGAGGGUGAGAAUCCCGUCUUUGGCAUGGACACACCAGGGCUUUUGCGAUGCGCUCUCGAAGAGUCGAGUUGUUUGGGAAUGCAGCUCAAAAUGGGUGGUGAACUCCAUCUAAAGCUAAAUAUUGGCGAGAGACCGAUAGCGAACAAGUACCGUGAGGGAAAGAUGAAAAGCACUUUGGAAAGAGAGUGAAACAGUACGUGAAAUUGUUGAAAGGGAAACGCUUGAAGUCAGUCGCGUCGUCCGAGACUCAGCCUCGCCUCGGCUUGGCGUACUUCUCGGCCCGACGGGUCAGCAUCAAUUUCGCCUCUCGGAUAAUGGCGAGGGAAAAGUGACACCUUUACGGUGUGUUAUAGUCUCUCGUCGCAUGCGAGGGUCGGGAUUGAGGAACUCAGCACGCGCCCUCGGGCGUCGGGGCUUUCGCCCACGAUACGUGCUUAGGAUGUUGGCGUAAUGGCUUUAAACGACC
rnacentral:rRNA from 1 species